rnacentral:lncRNA from 1 species
CUUAACCAAACCAUUUACCCAAAUAAAGUAUAGGCGAUAGAAAUUGUAAACCGGCGCAAUAGAUAUAGUACCGCAAGGGAAAGAUGAAAAAUUAUAACCAAGCAUAAUACAGCAAGGACUAACCCCUGUACCUUUUGCAUAAUGAAUUAACUAGAAAUAACUUUGCAAAGAGAACCAAAGCUAAGGCCCCCGAAACCAGACGAGCUACCUAAGAACAGCUAAAAGAGCACACCCCAGCCACCAAUUAAGAAAGCGUUCAAGCUCAACACCCAU